UAUCCUACCUACACCUCCCCUCUUUUAGUUGGAAACCAUUUCCCCUCAUCCUGUCACAACAGCUCAUGCUAAGGAGUCCAUCCCCUUCUUCCUUACAGUCCCGCUUUAGAUACUGAAAGAAUAGCAUACAGCUGUGCAUGCACACCAACCAAUACCUAUGUCUUAGCAUCUCUAUGCAUAAUCACAUGUGUACACACAUACACAACAAACACAAGGUAUGCUCUUUAGCUAAAUGCAGAACCCAGUGCUGUACCCUUUCCUCCCUGUGCUUAAGGGUGUGAAAUGAAGCACAGGUGUUUAGAGUCACUUUUAUUACAUUAACAGCACCAGAAACAGCACAACCUCUUGCGGCUGCUUUGACACAGCCGUUAAUUUUCACUUGCAGCUGUGGCAAUUAGAAAGUGUACUUAAUAGAGUGUCAUGUUAAUUGUUGCAGAGUUAACCAAUUUCUCCAUUUAAUUGUCAAUUGAUUAACCUAUUGAAAUGGUAAGUGACUCAGUUUCCUUCCAGAACAAACAGCAGCUACAUAUUGUAGCUCCAUCCAGCUGGAGGGGGUACUCUGUGAUUUGCUCAGGCUCAGUGUGCUGGUAUUUUUCUACACCUCCCUGAGCUUUUAAUUAGAUGAGCCAAUUUUACAUGUAUUUGUCUGCUGGAAAGGUUAUCUGUGCUGGAGCUGACCUGCAGAGACAAGGUUGAGCCUAGCGGUCUUAAUAGAAAAGGUUUUCAGCUAUGACUGCCGUACUUGAUUGCAUUGUAAUGGUAAUUAACUUGAGACUUGGCCUCCCUCAAUGUUUUUUUGUAGCUUUAACUAUGCAAUGAGAUGUUUCCUCUGUCAUAUAUAUGCACUUAUUAAGCUCUCAUUGGAUUCUAAUAUGCAUGCAAAUAGUCAAGAGUUUCUUAAGGCUAAUACUACACUAUGUAGAUUGUAGUGCCAUUAAGUCACUACAAAGAUGUAGCCCGCAGCAAACUUAGAAGGCUCCUUUUCCUGUGAGUGUAGGCGAGGCUCGAGUUCUCAUUUUUGUGCUUUGCUUAAACCUAAAGGAGGAAGAAUUCCCUCUACGCAGUUUCGUUGCCUUUCAUCCGAGGGAUACUCCACGCGACAGCACGUUUUAAGGCUUUAUCCUUACAGAGCUAUCCCGAAAGUGCACUUGUGCUCUACAAGGAAGAUUGCAACGUUCUCAAUUCAGUAUUUCCAAGUCGGGACCGGUUGAGUACAGCUACUUUCAUAGGAGGAAGAAUGGGGGAAGAAAGCAAGCGAGCAAUAUACCUCCACCAGGGAGCACAGUGGAGGCACAGGGCUUGUAGGAGACCUGUCACGAAGCUUGACUCCUUCUGCUCACACAGGUUUGGCAUUUAAGCUAAUUUGUAAGCAUUUAGGGCCUGACUCUGAUCUCCCUUUCACUACUUGCUGGAGCUGUCAAAGCACUUCCCAACAGAAAUAAGGUAGGGACCUUGCCAGCUGGAUUUGGCCCUUUCUCCGCUCUUUUGUCCUGGUGGAUUUGAGCAUAAGUAAUUCUGACAAAACAAGGAGCCCCACAUCCUAGCAUGGGUUGUGGUGCUGAUAGUGGAGCAUCUUCAUGGAUGUGGAAUCCUUCCAGAUGGACUGCCCUCCACAAGGGGAAGGUUUACAUGCUUCUCUUUUUCUACCUGUAGGGCUCAGCUCAAGGCUUGUGGAUACCAAUGAGUCCACUUCUGUUUUCCUAGGGAGACACCAGCCCAAAUCACCACGAGCCAAAGACAGCACAGAAAUCCUAGUCAAUGAGGUCUACUCUAGUGAGUCUCAGGCUUGAGACUUGCAUGGUCCUGCUGAGGACCUCAUUUUCCAAGGGUGGCCAUGGCAGAUCUGUUGAUGGCAACUUGAACUUAUCUAUGGCAGUUAAGCAGUUCCAACUUUCAGGCUCAAACAUGGGUGUUCAAAGACUUUGUUCAUAUUCUCAUGACUGAUAGAGGACCUCUGUUUGGGUUGAUGCUGUAGUCUUUUAAGCACACUUUCCAGACAGCUGUAGGUCUCUGUUUUGAAAGCAGAGAUCCUUCUGCUGAGCCGAUCAUAUAUGUUCAAGAAGACAACGCUUUGAUGGACAUCAGCAUAUUGGUAAGCAUCAGUGAAGAAAGCCUCGUUGAUUUUUCUAUAGUUCUUCAAAGUUUGAAGCCAUUUGAUGAUCUGCUUGUUGGAUCUUUGUCCUCUUCAGUGAUUUUUAUAGCAUAUAACUCAAGAAUAAAAUGUACUUCCUGGGAAGCG